AUAGCUAGGGAUGGGAAUCGAGAACCGGUUCCUGUUGAGAACCGGUUCCUUGUGUUUCAAUUCCAUGGAACCGUUUGGCAGCUCGUUAAACGAUUCUCUUAUAGAUUCCAGACCGCACGGUUUAUGUAACGUUAUUUACGCAGCAAGGUACACACGAAUGAUUCAGUAAGCCCGGCUUGACGUGGCGUAGUUGCUUGGUUACGCAGGUGACGCUCGUGAUACUUUUUACAAGUCUGAAAUGGCACCCCUAAGGUUAAAACGGUCCAAAGUGUGGCUUCAUUUCACAUUACAUAAGGAUGGCAACAGGGCGUUUUGCAACCACUGCAAAUUGUUGAUAACAUCGGCGGGAAUACUUCAAAUAUGCAUAAACAUCUGCGCACACAACACGGGAUAAACUUUAACGAGUGUCGCGUUUUUGAUGCCCUUCGGAGUGACAGCAGCCAAGCUUCUACGACCACCGUGACCUUGGGGGCUAACACCGAAGGCAACUCUGGUGAUUUAGAACAAGAUGAUGACCGGGACGAGACGGGUAGUCUGGCUGACUCAGAGGCUAGCAGCACUUGCUCCCGUUUACCUCUGGCUUCUAUUUUCGUCGAGGCAGGCAGAAAUAAAAUGUCCCAGGCAAAGGUAGAAGAAUGUCACCGGGCAGUUACCAAAUUUGUUGUUAAGGGUUUGCACCCAUUUUCUACAGUAGACGCCCCUGAAUUUCGGUAGGUGAAUGUGAGGUUGUUGUCAGAUUAUCAAAUGUCAGAUUAGAAUAGAAUAGAAUAGAAUAUUUUCACAGCCCCGUCUUUCCCUGGCUCAGAAGGUGGAUCAGGAAAUCCAGUUCUACAAAAGCCUGCCCUCCAUCCCCUGCAGGGAUAGCGCCGCACUGUGGUGGUGGAACAAGCAGGAUACGCUGCCCUUGCUAUCUGGACUGGCUGAAAACUACCUCUGUGUGCAGGCUUCCUCCACCCCAUCUGAGAGGGUGUUCUCCACGGCUGGAGACACCAUAAGCCCCGAAAGAUCCCGUAUCCUUCCAGAAAAAGCAGAUAUGCUCAUAUUUCUGCAAAAGAACUGUUAAUUUUCCCUACUACUACUUGAGUGCACACACACACACACUCACACUCACACUCACACUCACACUCACACACACACAAACACACACACACACACACACACA